rnacentral:lncRNA from 1 species
CUCGUCGAUCUCCGAUCUCGCUUUUUCCAACACUUCUGGAUGUUUCAGCAAAUUCGUCAUCGCCCACUCUAGUGUUACGGCGGAGGUCUCUGUCCCGGCGAGCAUCAUCGACUGAGUAAUUUCGAAAACCAACGGCAACAAUCAGGUACAAUUUUAUUGCAAUUUCAAAUCAGGUUAGAUCGAGAGAUAUAUAGUGAGUGAUAAGGUAUAGAAUUUACCAUCAUUAGGCCUUUGAUGGUGACGUCAGUGUAAUACUCUGGUUCUUGUUGUUGCAGAGAGAGCAAAUGGUUAACCAUUGUGUUACCGUCUUUGUCACUCCUACACUCGUCGAGCAAACGCUGCAAUAUCUCAUCCAUGGACUUGCCAAGAGCCUUAACUUCCUUCUCGAACUUGUUUCCGAACAGUUUCAGCACCGGCAAGUAA